UGCAGUCGAACGACAUAGUGGCAGACGGGUGAGUAACGCGUGGGAACGUACCCUUCACUACGGAAUAGCUUCUGGAAACGGAAGGUAAUACCGUAUACGCCCUUCGGGGGAAAGAUUUAUCGGUGAAGGAUCGGCCCGCGUUAGAUUAGUUUGUUGGUGGGGUAAUGGCCUACCAAGACUACGAUCUAUAGCUGGUCUGAGAGGAUGAUCAGCCACACUGGGACUGAGACACGGCCCAGACUCCUACGGGAGGCAGCAGUGGGGAAUCUUGCACAAUGGGCGAAAGCCUGAUGCAGCCAUGCCGCGUGAAUGAUGACGGCCUUAGGGUUGUAAAAUUCUUUCGCCAGGGAUGAUAAUGACAGUACCUGGUAAAGAAGCCCCGGCUAACUUCGUGCCAGCAGCCGCGGUAAUACGAAGGGGGCUAGCGUUGUUCGGAAUUACUGGGCGUAAAGCGCGCGUAGGCGGGCUAUUAAGCCAGAUGUGAAAGCCCGGGGCUCAACCCCGGAAUUGCAUUUGGAACUGGUAGCCUAGAGACCAGGAGAGGUUAGCGGAAUACCGAGUGUAGAGGUGAAAUUCGUAGAUAUUCGGUGGAACACCAGUGGCGAAGGCGGCUAACUGGACUGGUACUGACGCUGAGGCGCGAAAGUGUGGGGAGCAAACAGGAUUAGAUACCCUGGUAGUCCACACCGUAAACGAUGAAUGCUAGUUGUCUGCGCGCAUGCGUGCAGGUGACGCAGCUAACGCAUUAAGCAUUCCGCCUGGGGAGUACGGCCGCAAGGUUAAAACUCAAAGAAAUUGACGGGGGCCCGCACAAGCGGUGGAGCAUGUGGUUUAAUUCGAAGCAACGCGCAGAACCUUACCCGCGUUUGACAUGCCCUGUUUGGUUACCAGAGAUGGUUUCCUUCAUUUAGUUGGCAGGUGCACAGGUG
rnacentral:rRNA from 1 species